GAUAUAGAUAACAACAAUUUUUGGCUUGCCAAACCAUUGCACGAUCUAUGACCAUGGCUGUACCAACCAUAGUGGUCAUAUCAGAUAUUUUAUAGUCACGACAGUACUUAGUCAAAGGUCCCUUAAGAGAUAUUCGCGUCAUCACUCUCGUCAUGAUGGACCAUUAUGGUUGGUAUGGUCGUGGUCAUAUAUCGUACCCUGGUUUGGUAAGCUAGAAAUGUGCCU
rnacentral:lncRNA from 1 species